GGCCCGAACCCGGCGCGGAGCCGGGGGCGAGGCGGGGAGCCCGCGCACGGCGCGGGGAGGGAAGGACGGGGGUCGGGAGGGAAGGGGCUGCGCUCCAGCUGCGGAGGUAAGCUGCGAGCGCCCCGAGAACCGGGAGCGCAGACGAAAGGAGAGAGGAGCUUUCGGACCGUCUGGGACAGCCAGGAGAAAGUUGUUAAAAGAGUGAUGACGUCUGCCCUCCCAGGCCAGGGAUACCAGCAUCUCAAGGAGAUAAUGCCCCCAGGUGCCUGGCUUUCAGCCACAGACAGUGAGAACAAACCAGCUGGAACAGGUGCUGGUAUAAUGAGGUCAAAAGAUGUGCUGUGAGAGAACCCACCAUCCUUGCCAGGGCUCAGCACCCUCCUGGGGGCCAUCAGAGAACAAGGAGGCUCUGAAAAGGGAAGAGGACCCCACAUCAGAGAGCCUUCUCCACAGAACACCCAGGCAGUACAAACCCCCUCCCAGCCCUAAGACCCAGAACCUCUACAGCAAAGAGGAACUCUUCCACAAAACAAAGGCCCUAGUCUGCUCUUAGCCAUCUUUCAACCCAAUCAAGGUACCUGCUUGGUACAGUUUCCAUGAGUUUAUACUUCUUGCCUGCUCUCACCCUUUGAGGAAUGUAAUAGGACUUGCUUGGCUUCUCUCACUCAUGCCUCCCCGGCAUCCAGGCCCUGUUAACAGGCCACUUUAGACCUCACCCCAGGCAUCCUCUCAAAAUGAAGUUUCUGAUCUGGCUUGGCCAGCUCUUUAAAAACACUAUCUCACCUAUGACAUCUCUCUUUCCAUUGUUAUGUGGGUAAACACUUAGACUCUACACUCCGUGGUCUUGGUCUUCAGUAAGUAAUGACACCUGUGUAUGCAGCCAGGACUCAAAAGUGUCAGAACGGAUCAGGACCAUCAGUUUCACUUUCCCUUGGCCCACUCAAAAAGUGGC